rnacentral:rRNA from 1 species
AUUGAACGCUGGCGGCAGGCCUAACACAUGCAAGUCGAGCGAGCGGCGGACGGGUGAGUAAUGUAUGGGGAUCUGCCUGAUGGCGGGGGAUAACUACUGGAAACGUUAGCUAAUACCGCAUACCAUCAGAUGAACCCAUAUGGGAUUAGCUUGUAGGUGGGGUAACGGCUCACCUAGGCGACGAUCUCUAGCUGGUCUGAGAGGAUGAUCAGCCACACGGGAACGGAGACACGGUCCAGACUCCGACGGGAGGCAGCAGUGGGGAAUGUGGCACAAUGGGCGCAAGCCUGAUACAGCCAUGCCGCGUGUGUGAAGAAGGCCCUCGGGUUGUAAAGCACUUUCAGCGGGGAGGCGUUACUCGCAGAAGAAGCACCGGCUAACUCCGUGCCAGCAGCCGCGGUAAUUC